rnacentral:rRNA from 1 species
GACGAACGCUGGCGGCGUGCCUAAUACAUGCAAGUAGAACGCACAGUUUAUACCGUAGCUUGCUACACCAUAGACUGUGAGUUGCGAACGGGUGAGUAACGCGUAGGUAACCUGCCUGGUAGCGGGGGAUAACUAUUGGAAACGAUAGCUAAUACCGCAUAAUAUUAAUUAUUGCACGAUAAUUGAUUGAAAGAUGCAACUGCAUCACUACCAGAUGGACCUGCGUUGUAUUAGCUAGUAGGUGAGGUAACGGCUCACCUAGGCGACGAUACAUAGCCGACCUGAGAGGGUGAUCGGCCACACUGGGACUGAGACACGGCCCAGACUCCUACGGGAGGCAGCAGUAGGGAAUCUUCGGCAAUGGACGAAAGUCUGACCGAGCAACGCCGCGUGAGUGAAGAAGGUUUUCGGAUCGUAAAGCUCUGUUGUAAGAGAAGAACGGGUGUGAGAGUGGAAAGUUCACACUGUGACGGUAUCUUACCAGAAAGGGACGGCUAACUACGUG